GGUGCUUAGCUGGCUCUGUAGUCUGUACAGCUACAUCCUCUCCACUCCUCUCCUCUCCUCUGACUCUGCUCUGGGGGAACUACCAGGCUUAGCUCAGUUUGGUGUGGUGAAAAAAAAAGGCAAGGACAAAGCUGAGAGCUGGACAUGGCCGCCCUCCAGGACACCUACAGCACUCGAUCAACAAGGACAACAAUCACCCGAGCCACUGCCUGUUCACCACACUAUCAUCCAGGAGGCGAGAACAGUGCAAACUGGAUCUAACCAGAAAGGAAGAGGAGUGGGAGGCCCUGGUGCAGAACUGAGCAAGACAACAAGUACAUUAGAGUGUCUAGUUUGAGAAACAGAUGCCUCACAAGUCCGCAACUGGCAGCUUCGUUAAAUAGUACCCAACACCAGCCUCAACGUCAACAGUGAAGAGGCGACUCCGGGAUCAUGUUCAAUCUA